ensembl:snRNA U1 U1 spliceosomal RNA
AUACUUACCUGGCAGGGGAGAUACCAUGAUCAUGAAGGUGGUUUUCCCAGGGCGAGGCUUAUCCAUUGCACUCCAGAUGUGCUGACCCCUGCGAUUUCCCCAAAUGUGGGAAAGUCCACUGCAUACUUUGUGAUAGUGGGGGACUGUGUUCGUGCUUUCCCCUG